AGAACGAACGCUGGCGGCAGGCUUAACACAUGCAAGUCGAACGCUCGUAGCAAUACGGGAGUGGCAGACGGGUGAGUAACGCGUGGGAACAUACCCUCCGGUUCGGAAUAGCUCAGGGAAACUUGGAUUAAUACCGGAUACGGCUGAGAGGCGAAAGAUUUAUCGCCGGAGGAUUGGCCCGCGUUCGAUUAGCUAGUUGGUGAGGUAACGGCUCACCAAGGCGACGAUCAGUAGCUGGUCUGAGAGGAUGAUCAGCCACAUUGGGACUGAGACACGGCCCAAACUCCUACGGGAGGCAGCAGUGGGGAAUAUUGGACAAUGGGCGCAAGCCUGAUCCAGCCAUGCCGCGUGAGUGAUGAAGGCCCUAGGGUUGUAAAGCUCUUUGUGCGGGAAGAUAAUGACGGUACCGCAAGAAUAAGCCCCGGCUAACUUCGUGCCAGCAGCCGC
rnacentral:rRNA from 1 species